CUACGGGUCGCAGCAGUGGGGAAUCUUAGACAAUGGGGGAAACCCUGAUCUAGCCAUGCCGCGUGAGCGACGACGGCCCUAGGGUUGUAAAGCUCUUUCAGCAGGGAAGAUAAUGACGGUACCUGCAGAAGAAGUCCCGGCUAACUCCGUGCCAGCAGCCGCGGUAAUACGGAGGGGACUAGCGUUGUUCGGAAUUACUGGGCGUAAAGCGCGCGUAGGCGGAUUGUUAAGUCGGGGGUGAAAUCCCGGGGCUUAACCCCGGAACUGCCCUCGAUACUGGCAGUCUUGAGUUCGAGAGAGGUGAGUGGAAUUCCGAGUGUAGGGGUGAAAUUCGUAGAUAUUCGGAGGAACACCAGUGGCGAAGGCGGCUCACUGGCUCGAUACUGACGCUGAGGUGCGAAAGCGUGGGGAGCAAACAGGAUUAGAUACCCGAGUAGUC
rnacentral:rRNA from 1 species